GUAAAGUCGCUCCGCCUUAAUGAGAGUUUAGGAUUUCUCCUCCUUCCUGUUUCUGCUUUUGAAUUUUGCCACGCGCUUUGUGCGUCCUGUGGCGCCAUAAGACCAGGAUGACCAAAGCAAGAAGAACCACAACGUCCCUCGACAGGCCGAGAAGAGGUGAAAGCUACUGACUGACUGAAGACAGGAAAAUCCAGUGACCUGAAGUACUGUGGGAAAGAACAAUCGUUACAGGCAGAGACAGGAGCUGUCAACCGGGUGAGUCCCAAGGACCCCCUGCUCGCUCUCUCCCUCUCUACUCUCUCUUUCCACUCAGCCUCCUGAAUUUGUGGAGGAAAAAUGAAGGACCGAGCUGUAAAAGUUAACACAGCUUACUGC